GAUGAACGCUAGCUACAGGCUUAACACAUGCAAGUCGAGGGGUAGCAUGGUCUUAGCUUGCUAAGGCCGAUGGCGACCGGCGCACGGGUGAGUAACGCGUAUCCAACCUGCCUUACACUCUUGGACAGCCUUCUGAAAGGGAGAUUAAUACAAGAUGUUAUCAUGAGUAAGCAUUUUCACAUGAUUAAAGGUUUACCGGUGUAAGAUGGGGAUGCGUUCCAUUAGAUAGUAGGCGGGGUAACGGCCCACCUAGUCUUCGAUGGAUAGGGGUUCUGAGAGGAAGGUCCCCCACAUUGGAACUGAGACACGGUCCAAACUCCUACGGGAGGCAGCAGUGAGGAAUAUUGGUCAAUGGACGAGAGUCUGAACCAGCCAAGUAGCGUGAAGGAUGAAGGUUCUAUGGAUUGUAAACUUCUUUUAUACGGGAAUAAACGGAUCCACGUGUGGAUUUUUGCAUGUACCGUAUGAAUAAGGAUCGGCUAACUCCGUGCCAGCAGCCGCGGUAAUACGGAGGAUCCGAGCGUUAUCCGGAUUUAUUGGGUUUAAAGGGAGCGUAGAUGGGUUGUUAAGUCAGUUGUGAAAGUUUGCGGCUCAACCGUAAAAUUGCAAUUGAUACUGGCAGUCUUGAGUACAGUUGAGGUAGGCGGAAUUCGUGGUGUAGCGGUGAAAUGCUUAGAUAUCACGAAGAACUCCGAUUGCGAAGGCAGCUUACUAACCUGUAACUGACAUUGAUGCUCGAAAGUGUGGGUAUCAAACAGGAUUAGAUACCCUGGUAGUCCACACGGUAAACGAUGAAUACUCGCUGUAGGCGAUAUACAGUCUGCGGCCAAGCGAAAGCAUUAAGUAUUCCACCUGGGGAGUACGCCGGCAACGGUGAAACUCAAAGGAAUUGACGGGGGCCCGCACAAGCGGAGGAACAUGUGGUUUAAUUCGAUGAUACGCGAGGAACCUUACCCGGGCUUAAAUUGCGACCGAAUAUGGCGGAAACGCUAUAGCUAGCAAUAGCGGUUGUGAAGGUGCUGCAUGGUUGUCGUCAGCUCGUGCCGCGAGGUGUCGGCUUAAGUGCCAUAACGAGCGCAACCCUUGCCGAUAGUUACUAACAGGUCAUGCUGAGGACUCUGUCGGGACUGCCAUCGUAAGAUGUGAGGAAGGUGGGGAUGACGUCAAAUCAGCACGGCCCUUACGUCCGGGGCUACACACGUGUUACAAUGGGGGGUACAGAGGGCUGCUACCACGCAAGUGGAUGCCAAUCCCAAAAACCUCUCUCAGUUCGGAUUGAAGUCUGCAACCCGACUUCAUGAAGCUGGAUUCGCUAGUAAUCGCGCAUCAGCCACGGCGCGGUGAAUACGUUCCCGGGCCUUGUACACACCGCCCGUCAAGCCAUGGGAGCCGGGGGUACCUGAAGUGCGUAACCGCAAGGAG
rnacentral:rRNA from 1 species